AAUAUUGAGUGAAAUACAAUGGACUUUCUUCAGGAAAUCUAAGAUUUCCAUAUGUUUUAGAUAUUAGAAUUAUUAAACACAUCCCUAAAACUGAAUUAAAUAUAGUAAACUUUUGAGGGAUAAGAUUUGAGAAUGUAGCAAAAUUGUCAAGAUGAAUUCAUUGCAUUUGAAGAUUAACCUGAAUUUAAUACCCCAAGUUGAUAUUUCAAAGGUAUAUUUUAAGAAAGUUUAUAUUUGUGCAUAUUGGAAAUCUAUCACUGAUUACUACAACUGAUUAAUGUAGAAAGGAAGUUGAAAUAUACAACGUUCAUUCACUAGAUUUUUAUCAAAGGUUUCAUAUGGUAAAAAGGGAAAUAGUCACC
rnacentral:lncRNA from 1 species